AUUGAACGCUGGCGGCAGGCCUAACACAUGCAAGUCGAGCGGAUGAGGGAGGUUUCUCCUGGAUUCAGCGGCGGACGGGGGGGGAAUGCCUAGGAAUCUUCCUGGUAGUGGGGGAUAACGUCCGGAAACGGGCGCUAAUUCCGCCUACGUCCUGGGGGAGGAAGGGGGGGGUCUUCGGACCCCACGCUUUCAGAUGAGCCUAGGUCGGAUUAGCUAGUUGGUGGGGUAAAGGCCUACCAAGGCGACGAUCCGUAACUGGUCUGAGAGGAUGAUCAGUCACACUGGAACUGAGACACGGUCCAGACUCCUACGGGAGGCAGCAGUGGGGAAUAUUGGACAAUGGGCGAAAGCCUGAUCCAGCCAUGCCGCGUGUGUGAAGAAGGUCUUCGGAUUGUAAAGCACUUUAAGUUGGGAGGAAGGGCAGUAAGUUAAUACCUUGCUGUUUUGACGUUACCAACAGAAUAAGCACCGGCUAACUUCGUG
rnacentral:rRNA from 1 species